GACGGUAUGGCCAAGUGGUAAGGCGGCUUCCUGCAAAGUAGCUACCGGGGGUUCGAAUCCCUCUACCGUCUCCA
rnacentral:tRNA from 1 species